rfam:Agrilus planipennis Contig24130, whole genome shotgun sequence.
UCCUAGAACGGCCUGAGGUAGAGGGGUUUUAGUCGGUAGGUCCGAGGACUUCUUCCUCGGGAAUCCGACACUACCCAGUCGUACAGACGGCUGGGUGUCUUUUGAAGAUUUUCCCUCUUUUAGGA